CCACAUUCUAGGAAAUACACAGGAUCAUGUAUAUUUAAUUUCUAUCUUGAUUUAACACAUCAGUUCAUGUUGUUUCUUUUUCAUUGGUUUUUGUAUUAUAUAUUUUUUAAACAAAGGUGAGGCAGGCACUGACUAGAGUUUAUGUUGUAGUAAAAUAUUUUUGUUUGUUUGUAGAGGUACACUUGUUUCUUUAACUUUCUUUUGUGUCUUCAAAAUCAAUCAUGUUGCAGUCAGUGACUUGUGUUAAAUGACAAUAACCUGGUACAUGUCACAUACCUAUGUUGCAAGAAUGCACUUUACCUUCCUCGUCCUCAAGACGCAGCCACCUGGCGCACCUACCUAUAUUGAGGGAUAUAGCCAAUCUUGCUACUUUAGUGAGGCCGUGAUGUUUGAUUGCAAAGUGGUUGUUACAAAUUGGUUGGUUUUAGGUUCAAAGCUGGUACCUGAUCUUAUACUGCACUUUUUGUUUUGAUGAUCUUUUGCUCUUGUGGUUGCUUGACGAUGCCACUGGAUAUUAGAUUUUCAAUUCAGCUCAAACUCAUUAUUUUUUUUGGCAACAUAUGAUCUUUGCUUUGCAUGCUGUGUCUGUGCAAUUUCUCAUGAACUGUCUCCUUACUUGGGCAGUUGUUCAAUAUGAAGCUCGCUGAAGACAAGAAACAAAUAUCAUUCACUGUUAAGUGUGUGCCCUGAGACAAAGCUACUACAAUGGAGAAAUGUAUUAGGCAGUACUCGCUCCUAGGUAGUAAUCUUUCCAUUGGACUUUGGCUUGAAGUGGUAAAAACUUGUCAAACGUGUAUUGAGAUUUUAGACAUUUGAGGAUUGAGAUUAUGCAUCUUUUAGCUGGAUUUUAAAACAUGGUUAUUAUUGCUGUCGCCAGGAAUGAAGUGCCCUGUUGGUUGCACGCAGGCUCUGGCUGUUAUUUGCUGCCUUUGUCGUUAUUACUACCUGUGUAACUAUUUUAAGACGUUUUUGUAGUUCAAAUUGAAAUGUAAAAAUGUCUUAUAUUUAGUUACGAAGGUAGUACCUUAAAUUCUCCUGCCAUGUUCUUUAAUUGUGCUAAACUGAGCUUUGUAAUGUGCAAUUAAGGAACCUCUUUCCAUUACGUCAUUGUCAUGUUUGGGGGUAUGCCUGCCGCACAGUACUACCUUUACAAGAACAU
rnacentral:rRNA from 1 species